CCUACGGGAGUCAGCAGUGGGGAAUAUUGCGCAAUGGUCGAAAGCCUGACGCAGCGACGCCGCGUGAGGGAUGAAGGCCUUCGGAUCGUAAACCUCUGUCAGCAGGGAAGAACGGUCCUUGAGCUAAUUAGCAGUGAAUUGACGGUACCUGUAUAGGAAGCACCGGCUAACUCCGUGCCAGCAGCCGCGGUAAUACGGAGGGUGCGAGCGUUAGUCGGAAUGACUGGGCGUAAAGAGCUCGUAGGCGGUAUGUCAAGUCAUGGGUCAAAUCCCAGCGACCAACGUGCGUAAGGCCAUUGAGACUGGCAAACUGGAGUGUGUGAGAGGAUAGCAGAAUUCCAGGUGUAGGAGUGAAAUCCGUAGAUAUCUGGAGGAACAUCGGUGGCGAAGGCGACAAUCUGGCACAAAACUGACGCUGAGGAGCGAAAGCGUGGGUAGCAAACAGGAUUAGAUACCCCAGUAGUC
rnacentral:rRNA from 1 species